rnacentral:sRNA from 1 species
GUACACAGACAUAAUAAAGCGGUUUAGUAAAGCAGUCCUCAUCUCAAGUGUUAUCCGUUGAUAAUUCUUCCUUUUGAGUCUCCUUAUCGUUAUUAAUUAGAUUCUGUGCGAAACCUUUUUUCGCCGUAAGGCUCAGAUAUGUUGAGGUAUUAUCAAUGUCUAAUAAAAUGACUGGUUUAGUAAAAUGGUUUAAUGAGUCGAAAGGCUUUGGUUUCAUCACCCCGGACAACGGUAGCAAAGAUGUGUUUGUACAUUUUUCUGCUAUCCAGAGCGGCGGUUUUAAGACCCUGAACGAAGGCCAGAAAGUCGAAUUCACCAUUGAAGAUGGCCAGAAAGGCCCUUCAGCGGGUAACGUCUACGCCAUCUAAGCUGCGCUUUAUUCACUGGCGGUAGAUUUCAGCUUCGCUGCUG